GGCUGUGUAGUGUAGUGGUUUAUCACUCGAGAUUUUGAAAGACCAUGCAUACAAUGGUUGAAUCGGCUUCUCGUAACCCCGGUUCGAACCCGGGCACGGCCU